CCAUGAGCCAUCUCUCUGGCUUUUCAGAGCCUCUUCGUAAGAGCUGCUCUCUGUGAAACUCCUUAUGGCAACGCUGUCGAGAAGCAAAGACGCCUGCGGAUGAUUUCUGUUGCGAACUUCUCAUGCAAUGCAACCCACAGUGUUUGAGUGGUCCCAAGGACAGGGACAAUACGUCAGAGGAAGCAGUUGCAAGUUUCAGAAGCUUUGCUUAAAUUGAUGUCAGAAGAACCAUAACUAGAGAAUGGAAGGAGAAGGAACUUGCCGUCACCUGAAGCUUAAACGUAUGAGUUUCCUGAAGGCACCUCUGUAGCCAGGCACUGUUCAACAGCUGUAUCCUUUGGCUGGACUCCUUUGUCUCUGGAUAUGGUGUAGAUAUGAAGUAUGUCUUCAUCAGCUUUUGCGCUGAACGACACUAUUUGGAGAGGUCCUGGA
rnacentral:lncRNA from 1 species